UAGAGUGGCAGACGGGUGUGUAACGCGUGGAUGACCUGCCCUUGAGCGGGGGAUAACGUUCCGAAAGGGACGCUAAUACCGCAUGAUAUCCCGCCUUUGAAGAGGUGGAGAUCAAAGCUGGGGACCGCAAGGCCUGGCACUCAAGGAGGGGUCCGCGUCCGAUUAGCUAGUUGGUGAGGUAAUGGCUCACCGAGGCUCCGAUCGGUAGCCGGCCUGAGAGGGCGGACGGCCACACUGGGACUGAGACACGGCCCAGACUCCUACGGGAGGCAGCAGUGGGGAAUUGUUCGCAAUGGGCGCAAGCCUGACGACGCAACGCCGCGUGAGGAUGAAGAUUUUCGGAUCGUAAACUCCUGUCGAAUGGGACGAAUGGCCCGGCCGUGAAUAUCGGCCGGGAAUGACGGUACCGUGAGAGGAAGCCCCGGCUAACUCCGUGCCAGCAGCCGCGGUAAUACGGGGGGGGCGAGCGUUGUUCGGAAUUACUGGGCGUAAAGGGCUCGUAGGCGGCCUACUAAGUCAGACGUGAAAUCCCUCGGCUCAACCGGGGAACUGCGUCUGAUACUGGAAGGCUUGAAUCCGGGAGAGGGACGAGGAAUUCCAGGUGUAGCGGUGAAAUGCGUAGAUAUCUGGAGGAACACCGGUGGCGAAGGCGGCGUCCUGGACCGGUAUUGACGCUGAGGAGCGAAAGCCAGGGGAGCAAACGGGAUUAGAUACCCCGGUAGUCCCGGCCCUAAACGAUGAGUGCUUGGUGUGGCGGGUAUCGAUCCCCGCCGUGCCGAAGCUAACGCGUUAAGCACUCCGCCUGGGGAGUGCGGUCGCAAGGCUGAAACUCAAAGGAAUUGACGGGGGCCCGCACAAGCGGUGGAGCAUGUGGUUCAAUUC
rnacentral:rRNA from 1 species